CGUGAGUGAUGAAGGCUUUCGGGUCGUAAAGCUCUGUCAAGUGGGAAGAAACUGCUCGAUGCUAAUACCAUCUAGCACUGACGGUACCACUAAAGGAAGCACCGGCUAACUCCGUGCCAGCAGCCGCGGUAAUACGGGGGGUGCAAGCGUUAUUCGGAAUUAUUGGGCGUAAAGGGCGCGUAGGUGGUCUCUAAAGUCAGAUGUGAAAGCCCGGGGCUUAACCCCGGAAGUGCAUUUGAAACUUAGGGACUUGAGUAUGGGAGAGGGAAGUGGAAUUCCUGGUGUAGCGGUGAAAUGCGUAGAUAUCAGGAGGAACACCAGUGGCGAAGGCGACUUCCUGGACCAAUACUGACGCUGAGGCGCGAAGGCGUGGGGAGCAAACAGGAUUAGAUACCCUGGUAGUCCACGCAGUAAACGGUGAACACUAGGUGUAGCGGGUAUUGACCCCUGCUGUGCCGCAGCUAACGCAUUAA
rnacentral:rRNA from 1 species